CAUUGGGACCGCAAAACCUAAAGGCGAAAUGAAAGUGAAGGUCGACCUUGCGUCGACUGAGGGAGGAUGGGUUGCGUCACGAUGCAGCCCCGCACUCCCGGGGCGUCUCGUACUCAUUGCGAGUAGAGGCGCACCCAGAGCGUACACGUUGGGACCCGAAAGAUGGUGAACUAUGCCUGGCCAGGACGAAGUCAGGGGAAACCCUGAUGGAGGUCCGUAGCGAUUCUGACGUGCAAAUCGAUCGUAGGAGCUGGGUAUAGGGGCGAAAGACUAAUCGAACCAUCUAGUAGCUGGUUCCCUCCGAAGUUUCCCUCAGGAUAGCUGGCACUCGCGUGAAGCGAGUCUCAUCUGGUAAAGCGAAUGAUUAGAGGCCUUGGGGCCGAAACGACCUCAACCUAUUCUCAAACUUUAAAUGGGUGAGAUCUCUGGCUUGCUUGAACAGUGAAGCCACGAGAUUUUUCGGAUCAGAGUGCCAAGUGGGCCAAUUUU
rnacentral:rRNA from 1 species